AUUCAAUCGGUAUAGCAGUUAGCUAUUGCUUCAUAACGCAUCGCCCUCAAACUCAGUGGCUUAAACUGUUUAUUAUUGCUCAUGAGUCUAUGAGUGUUCCGGGUGGCUCCUACGAUGUCCUCUUUGCUCAUGCCUGCAUUCAUGGUUGGCGGCAGGAGCUGUGCAGGUCAGCAGUUUGGCAAGAAGUGAAGGGUGUGAACACUGGAGUCACAUUGCCCAGUUCGAAGCCCAGUGCUGCCACUCUUAUACAAACAACUCCAGUUUAAGGUAAAGCAGAGCUUCAGGUCCCAUCGUCAUAAGAAAAACAAUUUUAUGCCCUCAAUUUGUGAUUGUCUCCAGCAAACAAAAUGCUCUUGGGAUAUAAAUUCAGGAAGAAAG